CAGUCGCCACGGGAAUACAGAGGGUGCGAGCGUUAAUCGGAUUUACUGGGCGUAAAGCGUGCGUAGGCGGCUAAUUGAGUCGGAUGUGAAAUCCCCGAGCUUAACUUGGGAAUUGCAUUCGAUACUGGUUAGCUAGAGUGUGGGAGAGGAUGGUAGAAUUCCAGGUGUAGCGGUGAAAUGCGUAGAGAUCUGGAGGAAUACCGAUGGCGAAGGCAGCCAUCUGGCCUAACACUGACGCUGAGGUACGAAAGCAUGGGGAGCAAACAGGAUUAGAUACCCCUGUAGUCCCUGUCUCUUAUAA
rnacentral:rRNA from 1 species